GUCUACAUCGUCUAGUGGUUAGGAUAGGACGUUGUGGCCGUCCAGACGCAGGUUCGAUUCCUGCUGUAGACA